AAAAUCCAUAGCAUCCAUCACUAGAGUUUCCAGGCAUCAAACCUCUGACCGGCAGAAGCAAGGGUUAAGGUGUUGGUGCCAAAUAAACCUCGGGCCCUAAACUUCUAGGCAUCUGCCUCCGGAGAAUCCAACCUGCAACACAACUUAACUAACACCUUCCUUUCCAGGACAGCUUAUGGGGUGCUCCCUUAUCAAAGAAAGGGUGCUAGCAGCUACAGGCAGCACACUCUUUUUAUCUGGGAUAAUGGUGAGAGAAGAUUUGGUGCUGUGGUCCCUGCUGGCCCCUUGAUGUACCAGCCAACUGUAGUGACUUCAAUUUGAGAUGCCUGAAGAUAGCAGGAUGCCAUUCAGUGCUGUCAGUGGAAAACACCGGACAUUUUAGUCUAGGUAUAUAUACAAUAUUUAUGGAAAAUAGAGGUCAAGAAUUCCUGCCACAUAGCAUAUGAAGAAAGAGUCUAAAUGCUCUUGCAACAGC
rnacentral:lncRNA from 1 species